rnacentral:rRNA from 1 species
AGUGAACGCUGGCGGCGGGCCUAAUACAUGCAAGUCGAACGGAGUGGCGCACGGGUGAGUAAUGUAUAGCUAAUCUGCCCUACACUAGAGGACAACAGUUGGAAACGACUGCUAAUACUCUAUAGUGUAGGAUGAGGCUAUAUUGUAUCAGCUAGUUGGUGAGGUAAUGGCUCACCAAGGAUAUGACGCAUAACUGGUCUGAGAGGAUGAUCAGUCACACUGGAACUGAGACACGGUCCAGACUCCUACGGGAGGCAGCAGUAGGGAAUAUUGCUCAACGGCGGAAACUACGAAGCAGCCACGGCGCGUGGCGGAUGAUAUUUUUCGGAGCGUAAAAGCCUUUUGUUAGCGCAGCGGUACCUAACGAAUAAGCACCGGCUAACUCCGUGCCAGCAGCCGCGGUAAUAC